rnacentral:rRNA from 1 species
GCAAGUCGAACGAGAAAGCACUUCGGUGUGAGUACAGUGGCGCACGGGUGAGUAACGCGUGGAUAAUCUGCCUUGAAGUGGGGAAUAACUAAUAGAAAUGUUAGCUAAUACCGCAUGAGACCACAGUACCUGCGGGUACAGGGGUUAAAAAUUUAUUGCUUUAAGAUGAGUCCGCGUAUGAUUAGCUUGUUGGUGGGGUAAAAGCCUACCAAGGCGACGAUCUAUAGCUGGUCUGAGAGGAUGAUC